GAUGAACGCUAGCGGGAGGCCUAAUACAUGCAAGUCGAACGGUAACAGGUAGCAAUACGCUGACGAGUGGCGCACGGGUGCGUAACGCGUACACAAUCUGCCUUAUACUGGGGCAUACCCUUUGGAAACGAAGAAUAAUUCCCCAUAGUAUAUAGAGAAGGCAUCUUCUUUAUAUUAAAACUCCGGUGGUAUAAGAUGAGUGUGCGUCCGAUUAGAUAGUUGGUGAGGUAACGGCUCACCAAGUCAACGAUCGGUAGCUGGUCUGAGAGGAUGAUCAGCCACACGGGCACUGAGACACGGGCCCGACUCCUGCGGGAGGCAGCAGUAGGGAAUAUUGGACAAUGGGCGCAAGCCUGACCCAGCCAUGCCGCGUGAAGGAUGAACGCCCUAUGGGUUGUAAACUUCUUUUGUACGGGAAGAAACUCCUGGUCGUGACCGGGAUUGACUGUACCGUGCGAAUAAGCAUCGGCUAACUCCGUGCCAGCCGCCGCCGUAAUAC
rnacentral:rRNA from 1 species